rnacentral:rRNA from 1 species
ACUUGCUUUCUUUGCUGGCGACCGGCGCACGGGUGAGUAACACGUAUCCAACCUGCCCUUUACUCGGGGAUAGCCUUUCGAAAGAAAGAUUAAUACCCGAUAGUAUAAUGAUUCCGCAUGGUUUCAUUAUUAAAGGAUUCCGGUAAAGGAUGGGGAUGCGUUCCAUUAGGUUGUUGGUGAGGUAACGGCUCACCAAGCCUUCGAUGGAUAGGGGUUCUGAGAGGAAGGUCCCCCCACAUUGGAACUGAGACACGGUCCAAACUCCUACGGGAGGCAGCAUG